UGGGGAAUAUUGGGCAAUGGACGCAAGUCUGACCCAGCGACGCUGCGUGCGGGAUGAAGGCCUUCGGGUUGUAAACCGCUUUCAGCAGGGAAGAAGCGAAAGUGACGGUAUUUGUAAAAGAAGCACCGGCUAACUAUGUGCCAGCAGCCGCGGUAAUACAUAGGGUGCAAGCGUUGUCCGGAAUUAUUGGGUGUAAAGAGCUCGUAGGUGGUUCGUCACGUCGGAUGUGAAAAUUUGGGGUUCAACCCCAGACCUGCAUUCGAUACGAGCGAGCUAGAGUUUGGUAGGGGAGAUUGGAAUUCCUGGUGUAGUGGUGGAAUGCGCAGAUAUUAGGAGGAACAUUAAUGGCGAAGGCAGGUCUCUGGGCCAAUACUGACACUGAGGAGCGAGAGCGUGGGGAGCGAAUAGG
rnacentral:rRNA from 1 species